AUUGAACGCUGGCGGCAGGCCUAACACAUGCAAGUCGAACGAGUGGCGGACGGGUGAGUAAUGUCUGGGAAACUGCCUGAUGGAGGGGGAUAACUACUGGAAACGGUAGCUAAUACCGCAUACCAUCGGAUGUGCCCAGAUGGGAUUAGCAAGUAGGUGGGGUAAAGGCUCACCUAGGCGACGAUCCCUAGCUGUUCUGAGAGGAUGACCAUCCACACUGGAACUGAGACACUGUCCAGACUCCUACGGGAGGCAGCAGUGGGGAAUAUGGCACAAUGGUCUCAAGCCUGAUGCAGCCAUGCGGCGUGUAUGAAGAAGGCCUUCGGGUUGUAAAGUACUUUCAGCGGGGAGGGGUUACCCGCAGAAGAAGCCCCGGCUAACUCCGUGCCAGCAGCCGCGGUAAUAC
rnacentral:rRNA from 1 species